rnacentral:rRNA from 1 species
AUGAACGCUAGCGACAGGCCUAACACAUGCAAGUCGAGGGGCAGCGGGGAUGAAGCUUGCUUCAUCUGCCGGCGACCGGCGCACGGGUGAGUAACACGUAUGCAACCUGCCCGCCACAGGGGGAUAAACGCUGGAAACGGCGCCUAAUACCCCAUACUAUCGCUAUGCUGCAUGGCAUGGCGAUGAAAACUCCGGUGGUGGCGGAUGGGCAUGCGGCGCAUUAGCUAGUUGGAGGGGUAACGGCCCACCAAGGCGACGAUGCGUAGGGGUUCUGAGAGGAAGGUCCCCCACACUGGUACUGAGACACGGACCAGACUCCUACGGGAGGCAGCAGUGAGGAAUAUUGGUCAAUGGGCGGGAGCCUGAACCAGCCAAGUCGCGUGAGGGAAGACGGCCCUACGGGUUGUAAACUUCUUUUGUUCGGGAAUAAAGUGCAGUAUGUAUACUGUUUUGUAUGUACCGUUCGAAUAAGCAUCGGCUAAUUCCGUG